rnacentral:rRNA from 1 species
UACGUAGGAUGCAAGCGUUGUCCGGAAUUAUUGGGCGUAAAGAGCGCGCAGGCGGCCCAUCAAGUCAGAUGUGAAAUAACCAGGCUUAACCUGGUGGGGUCAUUUGAAACUGGCGGGCUAGAGUCCAGCAGAGGAUAGCGGAAUUCCCGGUGUAGUGGUGAAAUGCGCAGAUAUCAGGAAGAACACCCGUGGCUAAGGCGGCUCUCUAGUACGUGACUGACGCUGAGACGCGAAAGCGUGGGGAGCGAACAGG